rnacentral:lncRNA from 1 species
UCUUCAGUGAUAAUUGGGUUACUUUGAGAGAAAAUAUGCAUCUUUUGAAAAUUUUACACUGAGGAUAAGUCAAAUUUCUUAAUGGCAAAGAUGGUCCCAAUCAAAGACUGCAUAGGAUUGUUCUUCAUAAGAUUCACUCAAUAUUGUAUUCGAAUCCUUCAACAGUUUGACAAUGGCUACAACACCUUGGAUUCAUUCACUUCACUUGACCUGCAGAGAAUGGCUGAUCUAUCAUUUCAUGGAAGUGUUAAUUAUGAUACUGGUAGCAGUCUGGGAAAAUUCAAGAACAAAACAUAUCAAAAAGGAGGAAUGUCCAGAACAGUUCUUGGAAUAUUAAGUGUGCUGCUUUGCCCACUGCUUCCUGUUGGAGAUUGAAGCACCCAUGCACUUUGAAGCACAUUUGUGUUUCAGAAACACAUUCUGGUGUCCUAAAUACGCAAUAAUUUCAGAUAUUUCCUAUAAGGAAGUCACAGUACCUAUCUAAUAAGAAAAUAUCCUGUUCCCCAUUGAUGCAUACACUGGUCGGAUGACUUUGGAUGUGGUGUCUACUGAGUCUGCACAUAUUUGGAAGGAUUAUUCCUCUGGUGCACACUGGAAAUGGCUUCUGGGGCAUUGUGCUCUAACUUCUUUUUUUCUUUCCUCGUACCAGGAAUUGAACCCUGGUCCUUGAGCUUGCUGGAUAGGUGGUGAAACCGCUGAGCUAAAUCUCUGGCCCAUGCUAACUUCUACAAAUGGGCUUGGUAGUUAUUUUCCAAACAUGGAUGUGAAAAAAAAGGGGAGGUCCACUAGGGAAGACGAAGAUAGAUGAUGUGCAAGUCUCCGUGUGCAGGACAGUGUCAACCUCAUCAGGUUUCUUGCCCUGCUUAAUGCCCUCUCUCGGGUGUCUGGAUUCCAUGGCCACUGAGCCUCACUUGUACCCUGCAGGUGGGUACCAGUCCGCCGGGAAGCCACGUGAGGACACGCUGUUGAACAGGAGGCCUGGCCUGCACAGGUUUUCCUCCUGUACCC